rnacentral:rRNA from 1 species
ACACAUGCAAGUCGAACGGUAACAUAAAGAAGCUUGCUUCUUUGAUGACGAGUGGCGGACGGGUGAGUAAUGCUUGGGAAUCUGGCUUAUGGAGGGGGAUAACUACGGGAAACUGUAGCUAAUACCGCGUAGAAUCGGGAGAUGAAAGUGUGGGACCUUCGGGCCACAUGCCAUAGGAUGAGCCCAAGUGGGAUUAGGUAGUUGGUGAGGUAAAGGCUCACCAAGCCGACGAUCUCUAGCUGGUCUGAGAGGAUGACCAGCCACACUGGGACUGAGACACGGCCCAGACUCCUACGGGAGGCAGCAGUGGGGAAUAUUGCGCAAUGGGGGCAACCCUGACGCAGCCAUGCCGCGUGAAUGAAGAAGGCCUUCGGGUUGUAAAGUUCUUUCGGUAGCGAGGAAGGCAUUUAGUUUAAUAAACUGGAUGAUUGACGUUAACUACAGAAGAAGCACCGGCUAACUCCGUGCCAGCAGCCGCGGUAAUACGGAGGGUGCGAGCGUUAAUCGGAAUAACUGGGCGUAAAGGGCACGCAGGCGGUGACUUAAGUGAGGUGUGAAAGCCCCGGGCUUAACCUGGGAAUUGCAUUUCAUACUGGGUCGCUAGAGUACUUUAGGGAGGGGUAGAAUUCCACGUGUAGCGGUGAAAUGCGUAGAGAUGUGGAGGAAUACCGAAGGCGAAGGCAGCCCCUUGGGAAUGUACUGACGCUCAUGUGCGAAAGCGUGGGGAGCGAACAGGAUUAGAUACCCUGGUAGUCCACGCUGUAAACGAUGUCGAUUUGGGGGUUGAGCUUUAAGUUUGGCGCCCGUAGCUAACGUGAUAAA